rnacentral:rRNA from 1 species
AAGUAAAGCGGCGGACGGGUGAGUAACGCGUGAGAAUCUGCCUUUCAGUGAAGAAUACUCUCGAGAAAUCGAGCUUAAUGCUGCAUACGUCUCGAAAGAGAGAAAGAUGGCCUCUUGCUGUCGCUGAAAGAUGAGCUUGCGUACUAUCAGCUAGUUGGUGGGGUAAAGGCCUACCAAGGCGAUGAUGGUUAGCCGGCCUGAGAGGGUGUACGGCCACACUGGAACUGAGACACGGUCCAGACUCCUACGGGAGGCAGCAGUGGGGAAUAUUGCGCAAUGGGCGAAAGCCUGACGCAGCGACGCCGCGUGGAGGAUGAAGGUCUUCGGAUUGUAAACUUCUGUUAAGUGGGAGGAAAGAACAGGUUUUAAUAGAACCUGGUGAUGACUGUACCAUUAAAGAAAGCACCGGCUAACUUCGUGCCAGCAGCCGCGGUAAUACGAAGGGUGCGAGCGUUAUUCGGAAUCAUUGGGCGUAAAGGGUGCGUAGGCGGCAUGACAAGCCAAUUGUUAAAUAUCCCAGCCUAACUGGGAAAAUGCAGUAGAUACUGUCGUGCUAGAGGAUGGAAGAGAGAAGUGGAAUUCUUGGAGUAGCGGUAAAAUGCGUAGAUCUCAAGAGGAACACCGAUGGCGAAGGCAGCUUCUUGGUCCAUUUCUGACGCUAAUGCACGAAAGCGUGGGGAGCAAACAGGAUUAGAUACCCUGGUAGUCCACGCCGUAAACGAUGAUCACUAGACGUUAUUUUUGCUUGCAAAAAUAGUGUCGUAGCUAACGCGUUAAGUGAUCCGCCUGGGAAGUACGGUCGCAAGAUUAAAACUUAAAGGAAUUGACGGGGGUCCGCACAAGCGGUGGAACAUGUGGUUUAAUUCGACACUACGCGAGAAACCUUACCUAGGCUUGAC